rnacentral:rRNA from 1 species
UACGGGGGGGGGCAAGCGUUGUUCGGAAUUACUGGGCGUAAAGGGCGCGUAGGCGGUUCGGUAAGUCCUGUGUGAAAUCCCUCGGCUCAACUGAGGAACUGCACGGGAGACUGCCGGGCUUGAGUUCGGGAGAGGGAAGCGGAAUUCCGGGUGUAGCGGUGAAAUGCGUAGAUAUCCGGAGGAACACCGGUGGCGAAGGCGGCUUCCUGGACCGACACUGACGCUGAGGCGCGAAAGCUAGGGGAGCAAACGGG